CUGUCCCGGCAGACACCGUGACUCUCACACGGGCUCACACCUGCUCUGUAACAAUAAACACAAGCCUUUCACAGACUUCUCCGGACGUGACCUCGCAUACACAGGGAUUUACUUCAUGUGUGUGAAACAGGUUGUCGGUGGAGAAACGCUGAACAAAGGCAGCAGCUUUCACCUCCUGUCCCAGAGUUGGAUCUUGGAUCCCACAGUUCGUUCUGGAUCGACAGAAACUAAAACCAAACUCCGUCUGUGCUCGAGUUCGCCACCCCCAAGGCUGUAAACGCCCGAGACUGCAGAACUUCUGGGCUAAAAGUUAAAGAAAAUCCAACACACCGAGACAUGUUUGGCGAUUUAAAUGAAUCUGAACGCGUGUAAGCGAUCUCCAGUUCGUUUGUUUAGCCCGUUUCCACCGAGAACCGACUCACGAAACUAGAUCUUCUGUGACCCGAGCGUUGAAAGCGGCCGAUUUCAGAGCCGAGUCGAGCAGCCUGGAGCUGCUGGUUGCGUCUCUUCAUGCUGCAGGCGUUGGAGUCUGACACACAACCAUCGGCAGCUUAUUCCGGAACAAACUGCUGAUGUCGACCUGACCAGGUGUAUCAGGAAGCGUCGUCGUCACCGGGGAACCGGAGGGAGGGGUUUUCUAACUGGGAGGGGCUCAGGUCGUAAACGUUUCUCAGGCUCUGUUUCCACAAAGCAGCUUCAUUGAGUUACCUGGAUCAUGCCUGGAACCUGGACUGAUGUGAACUCACCUGGUCUGAGUUUGGACUCAGUGAAGCUGCGCGUUGGAACAGAGUCCAGACAGGAACAACGGGAAUGCGAUUCGACUCAGAGCUGCAGCUGCAUGGAAGUUAAUUCUUGACAAAACUGCUGAAACAAUCUGAUAAGUAAAGAUCUGAAAACACACCUGCAAACUUUAAGAAUAGAACAAGUUCUGAGUAGAUCACAGGUUUAUACCAACAACUGGUAUUAACUGCAUUAUAGGUUCUACUUAUUUAAUCUUUGCAGAGAAAGUUCUCGCAUGUAGUUUUUGUUUUGACAGGCAGUUUGAGAUAGCAUGAAGAGGUGGAGGUGAAGUUCAAUCAGUUGGGAGGAUUUUUUCCACGGAAUCUGACUAUAUAUCUUGUUUGCAUGAGUUCAUGCCUUUCGCUCACAAGUCAGUAUUUUGUUUGUAUACGUUACGUCAAGAGUAAAUAAUUUGUUCGCACAGUUUAAUAUCACUUACGUGUGUAAGUUAGCAUCUUGUUUGCACAAGUUAGUAUCUUGCUUGAAGAAGCCGAUAAGUUAUACGCAAUUGUUAGGAUCUUGUUUUCACACGUUACUCAGAUCCAUAACUUGUGCACACAAGUUAAUUUCUUGUGUGAACCAGAUAAAAUGUCACCUUUCAGGAUGUUUGGGUUGUCUAUAUAUUUUAGUACCAGGUGGGUCUGAGAGAGUCCAGUCUGGAUCAGUAGUUUUGUCAUGAAUGAAACAUCCACAGUGCGACUGGUCCUCUGCUGGAUUCUCACUGAGGAUCACAGAUCUAGAAAACACAGAAACUCUAGAAAACAUUGAAGGAAACAUUCAGGAGAAGUUUGUGAAACCUGCUGAGCAGCAGCUUGAAUCCAGAGUUCAAGGUGAGAAGACAAACUUCCCUUUUCAAUCACGACACCUGCAGGGUUUUAUCUUUUUUCAUGUUUUGUGUGU